GAUAAGCAAAAUAAGAGUAUAUGGCGGAUGCCUAGGUCGAAAAAGCCGAUGAAGGACGUGAUAGCCUGCGAUAAGCCACGGGGAGCUGGCAAAUAAGCUUUGAUCCGUGGAUGUCCGAAUGGGGAAACCCAUGCUGGGUAAUGCCAGUUUACUCCAUGUUGAACACAUAGACAUGGUAGAGGUAAGCCAGCGAAGUGAAACAUCUCAGUAGCUGGAAGAAAAGAUAUCGAAUGAUAUUCCCUUAGUAGUGGCGAGCGAACGGGGAAAAGCCCAAACCUUGCAGGUAGGAGAAGUUAGUGGAUGGUACUUGUACCGGAAGCUUUCAUCUCACCGUUGUAGCGGUGGUUGCAGCAAGGUGUUGUAGGGUAUUACAUGAGCGUACUACAAUGCGCACAAAUGAGUUACAAAUGUAAAAUCUAGCAGAAUACAGCUGGAAAGCUCAACCGCAGAGGGUAAUAGUCCCGUAAGCGAAAGGUUUUACACUCAUCGUAAUAUUCCUGAGUAAUGCGACACACGUGAAACUUCGCAUGAAUCUGCGCGGACCACCGCGUAAGGCUAAAUACUCGCCAGUGACCGAUAGUGAACAAGUACCGUGAGGGAAAGGUGAAAAGUUCCGCCGUGAGCGAAGUGAAAUAGAACCUGAAACCAUGUGCCUACAAGGUGUCAGAGUCCGGCUUGCCGGAUGAUGGCGUGCCUUUUGCUUAAUGAGUCUGCGAGUCAAUGCGUGUGGCAAGCCUAAGCCCUUCUGGGGUGGAGGCGGAGCGAAAGCGA
rnacentral:rRNA from 1 species